GUUUCACCCGCUGCAUGAGGAAAUGUAACAUGGCGGCACACUGUUAUGGGAAACGCAUGCUUGAAGCAUGCCUGAUACUGACUGGGGAGGUACAUGUGCAGAAGAAACAAAAGCUUUCACAUAUAAAGUGCCAUUUUGGCCAGCUGAUCUGAAGUCUGGUGUUGGCAGUGGAUGAUCGACAACCCUUGCUUUUGCUUUACCUCACUACCCUCGACCGCCUGGUAGAAGUUGUGGUACUUGGACACGUUCUACACCACCAAAUCAGAACAUGCAGAGUUCAUUGGGAGCCUUUCCUUAAUCAUCUGGCAGCUGUGAUUGGAUGAUUUUGUAUAAGAUUUCAAGUUUUUUUCAAAUGUACAUCCAUCCAGUAUUUAAAACUGACCAUGUUGUUCUAUAAUUAGUGCUGUCGUUUUCAACAUGAUGACUCAUGCUGAAUGUGACCACAGCUAUUUUCAAGCAAGUGACAUUUGGUGCGGAACUGGAUGUAGUGUGUUUAAGUUCCUGUACUUAGAAAAGGACCUGGCUAAGACAGUCAACUUUUUUGUUUUUAUUGCAGCUUUAAGGCAAGACUGCACACAUUUGUAUUCUUAAGUUGCUGUUGAAAGCGUAGUUAUUUUUAAAAAUACAAUGUUACUAUAGAAGUGUAUGGGAAAACAUUUGUUUGUGUGUAACCUAUUUAAUGUUAAAGCGUGCCCUGUUUGUGAAUUGUUUAAACUCGCAAACCCCUUUCAUUUUCUAUCACUUCACCCCUCUGUUCUGAUAUAAUUCAUAUGGCAUUUUCAGACUUUGGCUUUGUUGUUUUCACAAAAAAAGCAUUUGUAAAGACUUCCUUUUGGAACAGAUGUAGAAAAGGCAAAGGAGUUUCUAGAGCACAGGCACGGUGCUACAUGUUCUAUUUCACAUUUAAAGAAAAGGAAACAAAUGAAGGUUGCCCUGCACUGUGUUUUGUUCAAUAAUAUGGACAGCAUCUGUCCCUGCAAGAUGUCAGUUCCUGCACGACUUUGUAAACCAUACAAUGUUUCUAAACAUAAAUAGGUCUAGUCAUGAACUGGUGCCUUUUGAUUGAUUGUUAUUUAUAAAACCCAAAACCAUUUGAGUUUCCAUGGCAACAAGUUUGACUUAGGCUGGAAAUGCUAGUAGUGCUCGUUUCGUAACCACAUUUGGCACUCUAGUUUGGGAUUGUCGGGGGAAAAAAACAUGAUCAAAAGGCACCAGUUCACCACUUGAUCUAUGUGCCAAGUUUGAUGAAGAAAUAAUGUAUGAUUUUCAAGAUCUGCUCUGGAAAUGAAAUGAUAGCUUUGGGCACGUGAUUUUGUUCUGAAGUUGCCUUGCAUUAGACAUGUGUUUAUCGAAAAUUGAAGUCAUGUCAUCAAACAAGAGUUGCAAGUAGCUUUAUUGUUAAUGUGGCUUUCUGUUUAAAAGUCACACUACAUGUGAUGUGUAUAUUUCCCAACUGGAUUGGCGUGUUACUUUUUUAUCAAUGUAGCAAUAGGCAUUGGACAUAUUGUUUUGAAACUGUACAGCAUUUUCCCAAAUUUGUAAUAUCAGUGACCCGGCAGUUGAUAUAACUUUGAUAUUAAGGUAGCUAUAGGCAUAAGGUUUUCAAUGUUGUACUGCAUUGAGCAUGCAUUUUCCAAGCCAGAAGUGAUGUCAUUAAACAGGACGUGCUUAUAGCUGUUCUUGUAUAGGGUAUAGCUAGAGGACUAACUUGUACUGUCAUUAUGACUGACUUACUAGGGUAGUUCUUACUAGACCGGGGCGGAGGGGUAUAAGCAAUGGGUUCAUUGAAGUAUGAACCUUGUUAGAGUGAGGACCAAACCGUGUAUGCACGUCGGAAUUUGCGACAACGUCUAUACAAGGUUUGGCCCUCACUCUACCAAGGUUCAUACUUCAAUGAACUCAAACAAAAUGAAAGUCAUUUCUUAAUUGAAUGUGUAUGGGUUUCAUUGUAUGUAGGUAUCAUUGAAUGUGUGUGGGUAUCGUAGGUAUGUAGGUAUCAUAUGUAUGUAGAUAUCACUGCAUGUAUAUUGGUGUCAUUGUUUUGUAUGUAGGUGUACGCGUAUGGUUUUAUAGUAGAUGAAGUGUCUCAGCCGGGCUCCGGGUUUUGUAUUAUAUUGUGUUUAUUGUAUGUGAUUUUUUCCUGGAGUGUGACACCUUUUUUCUUUAAAUUUUGUAACUAUUAGGCUGAAACUUUUUCGGAAUUUGUGGCAAUCAGAAAUGUAAUUGUUAAUUAAGGUAUCCAUAUUGUAAAUCCCAUUAGUGGCCAAAUGUUAUGUCAGGGGAAAAUGUUCUGUAUAUUUAUGAAUUGAUGGAUGGAAGGAUGGAUGGAUCGCUAGAUCUGUAUUUGAUAUAGUUGUCCAAAAGCCUUACUUUCCAUGCUAUGUUUUAGUAAUAAUUAC